AACGAACGCUGGCGGCGUGGAUAAGACAUGCAAGUCGAACGGGAUCAUUGGAGUAGCAAUACAACAGUGGUCUAGUGGCGAACGGGUGCGUAACACGUGGAUACAUUCCGGGAAGCGGGGGAUAGCCCAGGGAAACUUGGAUUAAUACCGCAUGUGGUCGAAAGACUAAAGGCAGGGACCGCAAGGCCUGCCACUUCCCGAUUGGUCCGCGGCCUAUCAGCUAGUUGGCGGGGUAAAGCCCACCAAGGCUACGACGGGUAGCUGGUCUUAGAGGACGACCAGCCACACUGGAACUGAGACACGGUCCAGACACCUACGGGUGGCAGCAGUCGAGAAUCUUUCACAAUGGGGGCAACCCUGAUGGAGCGACGCCGCGUGGAGGAUAAGGUCUUCGGAUUGUAAACUCCUGUCAUGUGUGAACAAGGCUGUCGUGUUAAUAGCAUGGCAGAUUGAUGGUAACACAAGAGGAAGAGACGGCUAACUCUGUGCCAGCAGCCGCGGU
rnacentral:rRNA from 1 species